rnacentral:rRNA from 1 species
UACAGAGGGUGCGAGCGUUAAUCGGAAUUACUGGGCGUAAAGCGUGCGCAGGCGGUGAUGUAAGACAGAUGUGAAAUCCCCGGGCUCAACCUGGGACCUGCAUUUGUGACUGCAUAGCUAGAGUACGGUAGAGGGGGAUGGAAUUCCGCGUGUAGCAGUGAAAUGCGUAGAUAUGCGGAGGAACACCGAUGGCGAAGGCAAUCCCCUGGACCUGUACUGACGCUCAUGCACGAAAGCGUGGGGGAGCAAACAGG